GGCACCACCAAUCCACACUCUCCAAGCUUCAUUGGGGCAAGAGGGACCGACAGAUUGCCAACUCGAAAUGAUGAGAGCAUCAUGAAGGCCUCUCCUAGCUCUUGGUGCAGGACUGAUGGCUAGGCUGUGAUUGAGUGGCCUGAUAGACCAACUCUUGUCGAUUUUGCCUCUUCGCCACCUAUUGGAGCUGUUGGAUGGC
rnacentral:lncRNA from 1 species